rnacentral:rRNA from 1 species
CCUACGGGAGGCAGCAGUGGGGAAUAUUGCACAAUGGGCGCAAGCCUGAUGCAGCAACGCCGCGUGAGGGACGACGGCCUUCGGGUUGUAAACCUCUUUUAGUAGGGAAGAAGCGAAAGUGACGGUACCUGCAGAAAAAGCACCGGCUAACUACGUGCCAGCAGCCGCGGUAAUACGUAGGGUGCAAGCGUUAUCCGGAAUUAUUGGGCGUAAAGAGCUCGUAGGCGGUUUGUCACGUCUGCUGUGAAAACUGGAGGCUCAACCUCCAGCCUGCAGUGGGUACGGGCAGACUAGAGUGCGGUAGGGGAGAUUGGAAUUCCUGGUGUAGCGGUGGAAUGCGCAGAUAUCAGGAGGAACACCGAUGGCGAAGGCAGAUCUCUGGGCCGUAACUGACGCUGAGGAGCGAAAGCAUGGGGAGCGAACAGGAUUAGAUACCCUGGUAGUCCAUGCGUAACGUUAGGUAACGUAGAGUAGUAGGACGACUACCUACGGUUACGUUGUGUCGCAGACUAACGACAUAACGUUACCCGUCCGUCGGGAGGUACGGCCGGCCGACGGACGUAAACGUAACGUAAAGAAAGUUAGUUACGGUCGUUGAGACGUUGCCGACGGACGACGACGAGGGAGGAGG